rnacentral:rRNA from 1 species
GUGGGGAAUAUUGGACAAUGGGCGAAAGCCUGAUCCAGCCAUGUCGCGUGUGUGAAGAAGGUCUUCGGAUUGUAAAGCACUUUAAGUUGGGAGGAAGGGCAGUAAGUUAAUACCUUGCUGUUUUGACGUUACCGACAGAAUAAGCACCGGCUAACUUCGUGCCAGCAGCCGCGGUAAUACGAAGGGUGCAAGCGUUAAUCGGAAUUACUGGGCGUAAAGCGCGCGUAGGUGGUUUUGUAAGUUGGAGGUGAAAUCCCCGGGCUCAACCUGGGAACUGCCUCCAAAACUGCAUGACUAGAGUACGGUAGAGGGUAGUGGAAUUUCCUGUGUAGCGGUGAAAUGCGUAGAUAUAGGAAGGAACACCAGUGGCGAAGGCGACUACCUGGACUGAUACUGACACUGAGGUGCGAAAGCGUGGGGAGCAAACAGGAUUAGAAACCCUAGUAGUCC